AGCUGAUGAAGAAAGGCCCCCUUAGGGGAGCGUUUUAAGCCAAGAGUGGAGUGCUGGUUCCAGGAGGAUUUGGUGUUCGAGGAACAGAAGGAAAAAUCCAAGCAAUUGCCUGGGCUCGGAAUCAGAAAAAGCCUUUUUUGGGCGUGUGCUUAGGGAUGCAGUUGGCAGUGGUUGAAUUCUCAAGAAACGUGCUGGGAUGGCAAGAUGCCAAUUCUACAGAGUUUGACCCUACGACCAGUCAUCCCGUGGUCGUAGACAUGCCAGAACACAACCCAGGGCAGAUGGGCGGAACCAUGAGGCUGGGCAAGAGGAGAACCCUGUUCCAGACCAAGAACUCAGUCAUGAGGAAACUCUAUGGAGACGCAGACUACUUGGAAGAGAGGCACCGCCACCGAUUUGAGGUGAGGAUUCCAGCUUGCUGGUACUCUGGAAAGAUAGUGAGCUGAGAGACCAGCAGAAUUAUUUUUCAUGCCUCAACAGGUGAAUCCAGUCUGGAAAAAGUGUUUGGAAGAACAAGGCUUGAAGUUUGUUGGCCAAGAUGUUGAAGGAGAGAGAAUGGAAAUUGUGGAGUUAGAAGAUCAUCCCUUUUUUGUUGGGGUUCAGUACCACCCUGAGUUCCUGUCCAGACCUAUCAAGCCCUCCCCACCAUACUUUGGCCUCCUCCUGGCCUCUGUGGGGCGGCUCUCACAUUACCUCCAGAAAGGCUGCAGGCUCUCACCCAG
rnacentral:sRNA from 1 species